rfam:Fukomys damarensis contig123446, whole genome shotgun sequence.
GUCUAUGACCAUACCACCCUGAAUCCACCCUAUCUUGUCUGAUCUCAGAAGUUAAACAGGGUCAGGCCUCGUUAGUACUGGGAUGGGAGAAAGUAAUUAACAAGGAGUUGAGUGUAAUAGUAA